UACGAAGGGGGCUAGCGUUGCUCGGAAUCACUGGGCGUAAAGCGCACGUAGGCGGCUUCUUAAGUCAGGGGUGAAAUCCUGGAGCUCAACUCCAGAACUGCCCUUGAUACUGAGGAGCUUGAGUCCGAGAGAGGUGAGUGGAACUGCGAGUGUAGAGGUGAAAUUCGUAGAUAUUCGCAAGAACACCAGUGGCGAAGGCGGCUCACUGGCCCGAUACUGACGCUGAGGUGCGAAAGCGUGGGGAGCAAACAGG
rnacentral:rRNA from 1 species